CGAGGUGAAAGUCCAUUCGAGAGGGAAGUGGGAGUUGACAUUUCCUCCAAUUAUGCAUCUGGCCGACCCUCCGAGGUCCAAAUGAGCCAUGAUAACUUUCCACCUCCGUAUGAGCAAGACCCAAGACAAAGGAGAGCAGGAAGUGUUUUUGACAGAAUCAGCCCUGCCGAACCAAGGCCCAGUCAACAGCGAGCUCAGCAG
rnacentral:lncRNA from 1 species